CACGGCGAACAACGCGGCGCGCUUGCGUCUCUACAGCUGCUCUCAGAACUUGGGAAAGUGUUUUGAAAUUUAAUGAUCGUCGCGCAGGUGUGGACGCUCUCUAGCUUUGUCGUCUGACGUCACACGUGCGAUCUUAGUGCAAAUGACGGGAGCAAUUACACGGUAAAACGUGCAAAAAAGUGUAAACUGGAACCAAAA